rnacentral:rRNA from 1 species
UCCUGUCCAACGUUAAUCGGGGCAGGGUGAGUCGGCCCCUAAGGCGAGGCUGAAAAGCGUAGUCGAUGGGAAACGGGUUAAUAUUCCCGUACUUGGUAAAGCUGCGAUGUGGGGACGGAGAAGGUUAGGUUAGCAGACUGUUGGAUGUCUGUUUAAGUUGGUAGGUGGGAAGUUUAGGCAAAUCCGGACUUCCAUAACACUGAGAGAUGAUGACGAGUUUCUACGGAAAUGAAGUAACUGAUACCACGCUUCCAGGAAAAGCCACUAAGCGAAAGGCUUUACUAAACCGUACUGAAAACCGACACAGGUGGUCAGGUAGAGAAUACUCAGGCGCUUGAGAGAACUCGGGUGAAGGAACUAGGCAAAAUAGCACCGUAACUUCGGGAGAAGGUGCGCUGGCGUAGGUUGUAAGAGUAUACCUCCGAAGGCUGAACCAGUCGAAGAUACCAGCUGGCUGCAACUGUUUAUUAAAAACACAGCACUCUGCAAACACGAAAGUGGACGUAUAGGGUGUGAUGCCUGCCCGGUGCUGGAAGGUUAAUUGAUGGUGUUAUCGAAAGAGAAGCUCCUGAUCGAAGCCCCAGUAAACGGCGGCCGUAACUAUAACGGUCCUAAGGUAGCGAAAUUCCUUGUCGGGUAAGUUCCGACCUGCACGAAUGGCAUAAUGAUGGCCAGGCUGUCUCCACCCGAGACUCAGUGAAAUUGAAAUCGCCGUGAAGAUGCGGUGUACCCGCGGCUAGACGGAGAGACCCCGUGAACCUUUACUAUAGCUUGACACUGAACAUUGAAUUUUGAUGUGUAGGAUAGGUGGGAGACUAAGAAGCAGGCACGCCAGUGCUUGUGGAGUCGACCUUGAAAUACCACCCUUUAACGUUUGAUGUUCUAACGAAGAUUACGAAACGUGGUCUCGGACAGUGUCUGGUGGGUAGUUUGACUGGGGCGGUCUCCUCCCAAAGCGUAACGGAGGAGCACGAAGGUUUGCUAAUCACGGUCGGACAUCGUGAGGUUAGUGCAAUGGUAUAAGCAAGCU